CCAAAUUUUCCUCCUAUGUUUGAUUAGAUUAUUAUUCUACUAUAAUAGAAGCAUGAGAAGCAGCUUAGUAUCAACAUGUUAGCUUCUUGGAAAUAAAUUCUCACCUAAGGCAAUCUGUGGAUGACUUUGUUUCCUGAUAGCUGUUCAUCAACAUGCUUGCUUCCUAGACAAGGAUACUUUGAAUAUGUGAAUUCAUUGACAAAGGAGGCAAAUGUCUUAUCAUGAUGGAUGAUGCUUGGAUGACAGACGUUGUGGAUUCCGUCAUGAAUGUUUUCCCCAGAGACAGAAAAGGCCACCGAAUCAUGAUCACCACUCGUGACUGAUGGACGUGUUAGUAUAUAUGACAAUGCUUUCGAAAGUUUCCAAUUAUAUUGUUGGAAAACAGAGUUUUGUGCACGUUAAUAACAAAAAAAAUCACUUAGGAAGGUGAAGUUUGAGGAGUUAGCUGAUGGUGGUUUCAUCUCUGAGGUGACUGACGAACACAUACGCUAUACUGUCGGAGAUUUCAAGCUACUGCCAUCAAGAUACAAAAUUCACAUGGGAUAUAUGUGCAAUGCACGUGUCCUGAAACUAGUUAUAGAAAAUAAAAGGGGAAAACAACCACCAAGUUACAAAAGCAAGUGAUGAUAUUUAUAUAGGGCAUCACAGUGGAAGAGCAUCUGAAACAUACUGGAAAAAGAGAAUCAAGGCAUAAUCCUUCCCUUCCCAGUAGGAAUGAGUCGUCUAUGUCGAACAAUAAGAAAAACCUUAUUAAUCAGUAGUAGUGUCACAA